rnacentral:rRNA from 1 species
AGUGAACGCUGGCGGUAGGCCUAACACAUGCAAGUCGAACGGCAGCACAGUAAGAGCUUGCUCUUACGGGUGGCGAGUGGCGGACGGGUGAGGAAUACAUCGGAAUCUACUUUUUCGUGGGGGAUAACGUAGGGAAACUUACGCUAAUACCGCAUACGACCUACGGGCGAAAGCAGGGGAUCUUCGGACCUUGCGCGAUUGAAUGAGCCGAUGUCGGAUUAGCUAGUUGGCGGGGUAAAGGCCCACCAAGGCGACGAUCCGUAGCCGGUCUGAGAGGAUGAUCAGCCACACUGGAACUGAGACACGGUCCAGACUCCUACGGGAGGCAGCAGUGGGGAAUAUUGGACAAUGGGCGCAAGCCUGAUCCAGCCAUACCGCGUGGGUGAAGAAGGCCUUCGGGUUGUAAAGCCCUUUUGUUGGGAAAGAAAAGCAGCAGGUUAAUACCCCGCUGUUCUGACGGUACCCAAAGAAUAAGCACCGGCUAACUUCGUG